rnacentral:rRNA from 1 species
CCUACGGGAGGCAGCAGUGAGGAAUAUUGGUCAAUGGCCGUAAGGCUGAACCAGCCAAGUCGCGUGAAGGAAGAAGGAUCUACGGGUUGUAAACUUCUUUUGUAGGGGAAUAAAGGUAUUCACGUGUGGCUAUUUGCAUGUACCCUAUGAAUAAGCAUCGGCUAACUCCGUGCCAGCAGCCGCGGUAAUACGGAGGAUGCGAGCGUUAUCCGGAUUUAUUGGGUUUAAAGGGUGCGUAGGUGGUGUUUUAAGUCAGCGGGAAAAUUUGGGGGCUCAACCCAAUAUUGCCGUUGAAACUGGGAGCCUUGAGUGCGUGAGAGGUAGGCGGAAUGCGUGGUGUAGCGGUGAAAUGCAUAGAUAUCACGCAGAACUCCGAUUGCGAAGGCAGCAUAC